rnacentral:rRNA from 1 species
AUUGAACGCUGGCGGCAGGCCUAACACAUGCAAGUCGAGCGGAUGACGGGAGCUUGCUCCUUGAUUCAGCGGCGGACGGGUGAGUAAUGCCUAGGAAUCUGCCUGGUAGUGGGGGACAACGUUUCGAAAGGAACGCUAAUACCGCAUACGUCCUACGGGAGAAAGCAGGGGACCUUCGGGCCUUGCGCUAUCAGAUGAGCCUAGGUCGGAUUAGCUAGUUGGUGGGGUAAUGGCUCACCAAGGCGACGAUCCGUAACUGGUCUGAGAGGAUGAUCAGUCACACUGAAACUGAGACACGGUCCAGACUCCUACGGGAGGCAGCAGUGGGGAAUAUUGGACAAUGGGCGAAAGCCUGAUCCAGCCAUGCCGCGUGUGUGAAGAAGGUCUUCGGAUUGUAAAGCACUUUAAGUUGGGAGGAAGGGCAGUUAGCUAAUACCUGUGAGUUUUGACGUUACCAACAGGAUAAGCACCGGCUAACUUCGUGCCAGCCGCCGCGGUAAGAC